CGAAAGCCUGACGGAGCAACGCCGCGUGCGGGAGGACGGCCUUAGGGUUGUAAACCGCUUUUCUCAGGGAAGAAGUACUGACGGUACCUGAGGAAUAAGCCUCGGCUAACUCCGUGCCAGCAGCCGCGGUAAUACGGAGGAGGCAAGCGUUAUCCGGAAUUAUUGGGCGUAAAGCGUCCGCAGGGGGCGCAUCAAGUCUGCUGUCAAAGGUCGGAGCUUAACUCCGGUUCGGCAGUGGAAACUGGUGCGCUAGAGGGCGACAGGGGUAGAGGGAAUUCCCAGUGUAGCGGUGAAAUGCGUAGAGAUUGGGAAGAACACCGGUGGCGAAAGCGCUCUACUGGGUCGCACCUGACCCUCAGGGACGAAAGCUAAGGUAGCG
rnacentral:rRNA from 1 species